CUCUGGGUAGGCAAGUGGUAUGUCAUCUGGUUUGGGACCAGAAAGUCGAGUGUUCGAUUCACUCUCCAGAGA
rnacentral:tRNA from 1 species